rnacentral:rRNA from 1 species
CAGCCGCCGCGGGAAUACGUAGGUGGCAAGCGUUGUCCGGAUUUAUUGGGCGUAAAGCGAGCGCAGGCGGUCAAUUAAGUCUGAUGUGAAAGCCCCCGGCUCAACCGGGGAGGGUCAUUGGAAACUGGGAAACUUGAGUGCAGAAGAGGAGAGUGGAAUUCCACGUGUAACGGUGAAAUGCGUAGAGAUGUGGAGGAACACCAGUGGCGAAGGCGACUCUCUGGUCUGUAACUGACGCUGAGGAGCGAAAGCGUGAGGAGCGAACAGGAUUAGAUACCCCAGUAGUCCCUGUCUCUUAUAC